UGGCUCUCGCAUCGAUGAAGAACGCAGCGAAAUGCGAUAAGUAAUGUGAAUUGCAGAAUUCAGUGAAUCAUCGAAUCUUUGAACGCACCUUGCGCUCCUUGGUAUUCCGAGGAGCAUGCUUGUUUGAGUGUCAUGGUAUUCUCAACCCUCUUGUUGUUUUUUUAAACAGCAGUUGGGCUUGGACUUGGAGGUUUUUGCGGGCAUCGGAAUUUUUUAAUUCAGACGUUGGCUCCUCUAAAAUGCAUUAGCUUGAAUGUAUCAAGUCAUGAUUCAAUGUGAUAAUUAUCUACGUUGCUUCAACUUGUUGUUCUAGCUUCUAAUCGUCCUUUGGGACAAACAUAUCUGAACAUCUGACCUCAAAUCAAGUAGGACUACCCGCUGA
rnacentral:misc_RNA from 1 species